AUCAACGCUGGCGGCGUGCCUCAGACAUGCAAGUCGAACGAUUAAGACUCUCUUCGGAGAGUGUAUAAAGUGGCGCACGGGUGAGUAACACGUAAGUAAUCUACCUUUGAGUGGGGAAUAACAGUCGGAAACGACUGCUAAUACCGCAUAAUGCAGCGGCACCGCAAGGUGACAGUUGUUAAAGGAGCAAUUCGCUUGAAGAGGAGCUUGCGGCAGAUUAGCUUGUUGGUAAGGUAACGGCUUACCAAGGCUACGAUCUGUAACCGGUCUAAGAGGACGGUCGGUCACACUGACACUGAAUAACGGGUCAGACUCCUACGGGAGGCAGCAGUCGGGAAUUUUGGGCAAUGGGCGAAAGCCUGACCCAGCAACGCCGCGUGAAGGAUGAAGUAUUUCGGUAUGUAAACUUCGAAAGAAUAGGAAGAAUCAAUGACGGUACUAUUUAUAAGGUCCGGCUAACUACGU
rnacentral:rRNA from 1 species